CCGGACGAUAACUCGGAUUUCUGGGCUGCAGGUUGUGGAAACGGCGCCUAUCCGCGCCCCUAGAGUCCCUGGCGUCCCUAUUCCCUGGACACCUGUGCACAGUUCAUAAACUCUCGCAGGUUCCUCAGCGAGGCCUCGUGUUUAUUUUGUGGGCCUGGGUGAAAGUUCUCAAAAUGCACGCGUGGGCACGCACACAGAGUCACACAGGCAGUUUGGCAGCGUGUCGCUCUCUGCGACGUUUGAUAUAAGACAAUUUUUUUUUCUUACGGUCUCAAGCAACCCUCAUGUCCGAGCUGCUGCCAGGUGACCCGGGGAGAUUUGGCCAGGGGGAGCUGCAGAGGCAGUUAAACUGUCACCUGUGCGGGAGGUGCAGCGACGUGGCCUCCCUUCCCCACCCC
rnacentral:lncRNA from 1 species